rnacentral:rRNA from 1 species
AAAUUGAAGAGUUUGAUCAUGGCUCAGAUUGAACGCUGGCGGCAGGCCUAACACAUGCAAGUCGAACGGUAACAGGAAGCAGCUUGCUGCUUUGCUGACGAGUGGCGGACGGGUGAGUAAUGUCUGGGAAACUGCCUGAUGGAGGGGGAUAACUACUGGAAACGGUGGCUAAUACCGCAUAACGUCGCAAGACCAAAGAGGGGGACCUUCGGGCCUCUUGCCAUCAGAUGUGCCCAGAUGGGAUUAGCUUGUUGGUGAGGUAACGGCUCACCAAGGCGACGAUCCCUAGCUGGUCUGAGAGGAUGACCAGCCACACUGGAACUGAGACACGGUCCAGACUCCUACGGGAGGCAGCAGUGGGGAAUAUUGCACAAUGGGCGCAAGCCUGAUGCAGCCAUGCCGCGUGUAUGAAGAAGGCCUUCGGGUUGUAAAGUACUUUCAGCGGGGAGGAAGGUGUUGUGGUUAAUAACCACAGCAAUUGACGUUACCCGCAGAAGAAGCACCGGCUAACUCCGUGCCAGCAGCCGCGGUAAUACGGAGGGUGCAAGCGUUAAUCGGAAUUACUGGGCGUAAAGCGCACGCAGGCGGUCUGUCAAGUCGGAUGUGAAAUCCCCGGGCUCAACCUGGGAACUGCAUUCGAAACUGGCAGGCUUGAGUCUUGUAGAGGGGGGUAGAAUUCCAGGUGUAGCGGUGAAAUGCGUAGAGA